rnacentral:misc_RNA from 1 species
GAUGAAGAACGUAGCGAAAUGCGAUAAGUAAUGUGAAUUGCAGAAUUCAGUGAAUCAUCGAAUCUUUGAACGCACAUUGCGCCCGCCAGUAUUCUGGCGGGCAUGCCUGUUCGAGCGUCAUUUCAACCAUCAAGCCCCCGGCUUGUGUUGGGGACCUGCGGCUGCCGCAGGCCCUGAAAACCAGUGGCGGGCUCGCUGUCACACCGAGCGUAGUAGACUUUCAUCUCGCUCAGGGCGUGCUGCGGGUUCCGGCCGUAAAAAGCCUUAUUUACCCAAGGUUGACCUCGGAUCAGGUAGGAAGACCCGCUGAACUUAAGCAUAUCAAUAAGCGGAGGA